GUGAAGAAGGCCUUCGGGUGUAAAGCACUUUCGGCCGGAACGAAAUCGCCUUCGUAAUAGCGAGGGUGGAUGACGGUACCGGAAGAAGAAGCACCGGCUAACUACGUGCCAGCAGCCGCGGUAAUACGUAGGGUGCGAGCGUUAAUCGGAAUUACUGGGCGUAAAGGGUGCGCAGGCGGUUCCGCAAGUCAGGCGUGAAAUCCCCGGGCUUAACCUGGGAAUGGCGCUUGAAACUACGGGACUAGAGUGUGGCAGAGGGAGGUGGAAUUCCACGUGUAGCGGUGAAAUGCGUAGAGAUGUGGAGGAACACCGAUGGCGAAGGCAGCCUCCUGGGUCAACACUGACGCUCAUGCACGAAAGCGUGGGGAGCAGACAGGAUUAGAUACCCUGGUAGUCCACGCCCUAAACGAUGAUGACUAGUUGUUGGAGGAGUUAAAUCCUUUAGUAACGCAGCUAACGCGAGAAGUCAUCCGCCUGGGGAGUACGGUCGCAAGAUUA
rnacentral:rRNA from 1 species